rnacentral:rRNA from 1 species
UACGUAGGGUGCAAGCGUUUAAUCGGAAUUACUGGGCGUAAAGCGUGCGCAGGCGGUGAUGUAAGACAGAUGUGAAAUCCCCGGGCUUAACCUAGGAACUGCAUUUGUGACUGCAUGGCUAGAGUGUGGUAGAGGGAGAUGGAAUUCCGCAUGUAGCAGUGAAAUGCGUAGAGAUGCGGAGGAACACCGAUGGCCGAAGGCAGCCCCCCUGGGCUAGCACUGACGCUCAGGCACGGAAAGCGUGGGGGAGCAAACAGG